UACGGAGGGUGCAAGCGUUAUCCGGAUUCACUGGGUUUAAAGGGAGCGUAGGUGGGGUGGUAAGUCAGUGGUGAAAUCUCCGGGCUUAACUCGGAAACUGCCGUUGAUACUAUCAUUCUUGAAUAUCGUGGAGGUAAGCGGAAUAUGUCAUGUAGCGGUGAAAUGCUUAGAUAUGACAUAGAACACCAAUUGCGAAGGCAGCUUACUACCCGAAUAUUGACACUGAGGCACGAAAGCGUGGGGAUCAAACAGG
rnacentral:rRNA from 1 species